rnacentral:rRNA from 1 species
AGAAGUUUGAUCCUGGCUCAGGACGAACGCUGGCGGCGUGCUUCAUACAUGCAAGUCGAACGAGGCCGGGCCUUCGUGGCCCAAUGGUCAAGUGGCGAACGGGUGAGUAACACGUGAGAAACCUGCCCCGGAGACCGGGACAACCAGAGGAAACUUUGGCUAAUACCGGAUACCCUCAGAUGGUCGCAUGGCCGACUGAGGAAAGCUCCGACGCUCCGGGAGGGUCUCGCGGCCUAUCAGCUUGUUGGUGGGGUAAUGGCCCACCAAGGUAUCGACGGGUAGCUGGUCUGAGAGGACGAUCAGCCACACUGGGACUGAGACACGGCCCAGACUCCAUACGGGAGGCAGCAGUAGGGAAUAUUGCGCAAUGGGCGAAAGCCUGACGCAGCAAACGCCGCGUGGGGGAUGAAGGCCUUCGGGUUGUAAACCCCUUUCGGCAGGACGAAAAUGACGGUACCUGCAGAAGAAGCCCCGGCAACUACGUGCCAGCAGCCGCGGUAACACGUAGGGGGCGAGCGUUGUCCGGAUUUAUUGGGCGUAAAGAGCUCGUAGCGGUUGCGUAAGUCGGAUGUGAAAACUCAGUGGCUCAACCCGGAGCACGCCAUCUGAUACUGCCGCUGACUAGAGUCCGGUAGGGGAGCUAUGGAAUUCCUGGUGUANCGGUGAANUGCGCAGAUNUCAGGAGGAACACCAAGCGAAGUGAAGGCGGUGCUCUGGGCCGGAACUGACAGCUGAGGAGCGAAAGGCNUGGGUAGGCAAACAGGAUUAGAUAGCCCUGGUAGUCACACGCCCGUAAACGCGUAUGGGCAACCUAAGAUGUGNGACUUUAACUCAACACAUUCCGCGUCGUAGCUAACGCAUUAAGUGCCCGCCUGGGGAGUACGGCCGCAAGGCUAAAACUCAAAGGAAAUGACGGGGCCCGCACAAGCGCGGAGCAUGNUGCUUAAUUCGAGGCAACGCGAAGAACCUUACCUGGGUUUGACAUGUAUGGAAAAGCCAUAGAGAUAUGGUGUCCUACGGGGCCAUACACAGGUGGUGCAUGGCGUCGUCAGCUCGUGUCGUCGAGAUGUUCGGGCUUAAGUCCCGCAACGAGCGCAACCCUCGUCCUAUGUUCGCCAGCACGCUUAUGGUGGGGACUCGUAGGAGACUGCCGGGGUCAACAUCGGAGGAAGGUGGGGACGACGUCAAGUCACCAUGCCCCUUAUGCCCAGGGCUGCAAACAUGCUACAAUGGCCGGUACAAAGGGCUGCCAUGCCGCGAGGCGUGAGCGAAUCCCUGCUAAAACCGGUCUCAGUUCGGAUUGGAGUCUGCAACUCGACAUUCAUGAAGCCGGAGUCGCUAGUAAUCCCUGGAGUCAGCAACGCCGGGGUGAAUACGUUCCCGGGCCUUGUACACACCGCCCGUCACACCACGAAAGUCGGCAACACCUCGAAGUCAGUGGCCCAACCCCUCUUGUGGGAGGGAGCUGCCGAAGGUCGGGGCUUGGCAGAUUGGGGUGAAGUCGUAACAAGGUAGCCCAAGGGCGAAUUCCGAGCACACUGGCCUGGCCGGUUCACUAAGUGGAUCCCG